rnacentral:rRNA from 1 species
GUGGGGAAUUUUGGACAAUGGGCGCAAGCCUGAUCCAGCAAUGCCGCGUGCAGGAAGAAGGCCUUCGGGUUGUAAACUGCUUUUGUACGGAACGAAACGGUCCGGGUUAAUACCCUGGGCUAAUGACGGUACCGUAAGAAUAAGCACCGGCUAACUACGUGCCAGCAGCCGCGGUAAUACGUAGGGUGCAAGCGUUAAUCGGAAUUACUGGGCGUAAAGCGUGCGCAGGCGGUGCUGUAAGACAGGCGUGAAAUCCCCGGGCUCAACCUGGGAAUUGCGCUUGUGACUGCAGUGCUGGAGUGCGGCAGAGGGGGAUGGAAUUCCGCGUGUAGCAGUGAAAUGCGUAGAUAUGCGGAGGAACACCGAUGGCGAAGGCAAUCCCCUGGGCCUACACUGACGCUCAUGCACGAAAGCGUGGGGAGCAAACAGGAUUAGAAACCCGGGUAGUCC